UUGUGAUGAAACAUAAACUGAAACAGCUGGAAUUACCGUCAGAUUGUUCAGUGGUGAUCAUAAGGUUUUCUGAAC
ensembl:snoRNA small nucleolar RNA SNORD65